rnacentral:rRNA from 1 species
AACAAACGCUGGCGGCGUGCCUAACACAUGCAAGUCGUACGUGAAAGUCCGUUUCGGCGGGCGAGUAAAGUGGCGCACGGGUGAGUAACGCGUGGAUAAUCUGCCCUUUAGCCGGGAAUAACUCAUCGAAAGGUGGGCUAAUACCCGAUAAUGCUGCUUCUACCUCGGUGGAAUAGCCAAAGAGAGCUUCUGUUUACAUGCCCUCACUGAAGGAUGAGUCCGCGUACCAUUAGCUGGUUGGUGGGGUAAUGGCCUACCAAGGCGAUGAUGGUUAGCUGGUCUGAGAGGAUGAUCAGCCACACUGGAACUGAGACACGGUCCAGACUCCUACGGGAGGCAG